rnacentral:rRNA from 1 species
GAUGAACGCUGGCGGCGUGCCUAAUACAUGCAAGUCGAGCGAACGGACGAGAAGCUUGCUUCUCUGAUGUUAGCGGCGGACGGGUGAGUAACACGUGGAUAACCUACCUAUAAGACUGGGAUAACUUCGGGAAACCGGAGCUAAUACCGGAUAAUAUUUUGAACCGCAUGGUUCAAAAGUGAAAGACGGUCUUGCUGUCACUUAUAGAUGGAUCCGCGCUGCAUUAGCUAGUUGGUAAGGUAACGGCUUACCAAGGCAACGAUGCAUAGCCGACCUGAGAGGGUGAUCGGCCACACUGGAACUGAGACACGGUCCAGACUCCUACGAGAGGCAGCAGUAGGGAAUCUUCCGCAAAGGGCGAAAGCCUGACGGAGCAACGCCGCGUGAGUGAUGAAGGUCUUCGGAUCGUAAAACUCUGUUAUUAGGGAAGAACAUAUGUGUAAGUAACUGUGCACAUCUUGACGGUACCUAAUCAGAAAGCCACGGCUAACUACGUG